rnacentral:rRNA from 1 species
GAGUUUGAUCCUGGCUCAGAUUGAACGCUGGCGGCAUGCCUUACACAUGCAAGUCGAACGGCAGCACGGAGCUUGCUCUGGUGGCGAGUGGCGAACGGGUGAGUAAUAUAUCGGAACGUACCCUAGAGUGGGGGAUAACGUAGCGAAAGUUACGCUAAUACCGCAUACGAUCUAAGGAUGAAAGUGGGGGAUCGCAAGACCUCAUGCUCGUGGAGCGGCCGAUAUCUGAUUAGCUAGUUGGUAGGGUAAAAGCCUACCAAGGCAUCGAUCAGUAGCUGGUCUGAGAGGACGACCAGCCACACUGGAACUGAGACACGGUCCAGACUCCUACGGGAGGCAGCAGUGGGGAAUUUUGGACAAUGGGCGAAAGCCUGAUCCAGCAAUGCCGCGUGAGUGAAGAAGGCCUUCGGGUUGUAAAGCUCUUUUGUCAGGGAAGAAACGGUGAAAGCUAAUAUCUUUGCUAAUGACGGUACCUGAAGAAUAAGCACCGGCUAACUACGUGCCAGCAGCCGCGGUAAUACGUAGGGUGCAAGCGUUAAUCGGAAUUACUGGGCGUAAAGCGUGCGCAGGCGGUUUUGUAAGUCUGAUGUGAAAUCCCCGGGCUCAACCUGGGAAUUGCAUUGGAGACUGCAAGGCUAGAAUCUGGCAGAGGGGGGUAGAAUUCCACGUGUAGCAGUGAAAUGCGUAGAUAUGUGGAGGAACACCGAUGGCGAAGGCAGCCCCCUGGGUCAAGAUUGACGCUCAUGCACGAAAGCGUGGGGAGCAAACAGGAUUAGAUACCCUGGUAGUCCACGCCCUAAACGAUGUCUACUAGUUGUCGGGUCUUAAUUGACUUGGUAACGCAGCUAACGCGUGAAGUAGACCGCCUGGGGAGUACGGUCGCAAGAUUAAAACUCAAAGGAAUUGACGGGGACCCGCACAAGCGGUGGAUGAUGUGGAUUAAUUCGAUGCAACGCGAAAAACCUUACCUACCCUUGACAUGGCUGGAAUCCUUGAGAGAUGGGAGUGCUCGAAAGAGAACCAGUACACAGGUGCUGCAUGGCUGUCGUCAGCUCGUGUCGUGAGAUGUUGGGUUAAGUCCCGCAACGAGCGCAACCCUUGUCAUUAGUUGCUACGAAAGGGCACUCUAAUGAGACUGCCGGUGACAAACCGGAGGAAGGUGGGGAUGACGUCAAGUCCUCAUGGCCCUUAUGGGUAGGGCUUCACACGUCAUACAAUGGUACAUACAGAGCGCCGCCAACCCGCGAGGGGGAGCUAAUCGCAGAAAGUGUAUCGUUGUCCGAUUGUAGUCUGCAACUCGACUGCAUGAAGUUGGAAUCGCUAGUAAUCGCGGA